CCCUAGCACCCCCGACCCCCCCCACCCCGCCCCGCCUUCGCCUCCCGCCCUCGUCCCCUCCCCUCUUCCCCGGCCGACUGGAGCGAGGGGCAGGGAUGAGCCUGUCCCUUCGGCGCGCCCCCAGCUCCCCAGGCUGCCUAGUCGCGUUUCGCGUGGAAAAGCCACUUUCUCCGCCCGCCGACAUGGGCCCGAUCGGGGGCUGCAGAGGACGCGUCCGCGGGCUGCGGCAGCAACAGCAACAGCCGCAGCGCCGCGGUCUCCGCGAUUGAGCUGGUAUUUGGGCGGCUGGUGGCGGCGGGGACGGUCGGGAGGUGGGAGGAGGCGGAGGAAGAGGCGAAGGAGGAGGAGGAGGAGGGAGAACCCCGUGCAACGUUGGGACUUGGCAGCUCGCCUCCCCCUGCCCAAGGAUAUUUAAUUUGCCUCGGGAAUCGCUACUUCCAGAGAGGAACUCCGGAGGGAAGGCGCGCGCGCGCGCCUGGAGGGGCCAGGCUAGGACCCCCCCCGCACCCCCAACACACACACACACACACACCCCGCCCGCCCGCCCGCCCGGGCCGCCGCCUGCCAGCGCCGGACUCUGGCCCCGGCGGUGAGAGAUGCAUCUUAGCUUCUUCCCGACCGCGGCGGCUGAGAAGAGACUUGGCUCUCGGGGGAUCCGGGCUGCACUCGCGCCGGACGCGUUGCCUCCCCCCCAGGGCAUGAAACGCCAGUAAACUCGGGUCGGGGCUAUCUCCUUGGCGCAGCUGCUGCGUCCUCCCUCGACCGCCCCUCUCCGGCGCAGAGGGCGGUGUGGAUUUCGGAGUCGGGGUUUCUGCCUCCUCCAGCCCUGUUUGCAUGUGCGGGGCCGCGGCUAGGAGCCUCCGCCCCCCACCCGGUUGUUUUUCGGCGCCUCCCUCUGCUCGGCAGCAGCGGCAGCAUGGCGAGCCCUCCGGAGACGGACGGCUUCUCGGACGUGCGCAAGGUGGGCUACCUGCGCAAACCCAAGAGCAUGCACAAGCGAUUCUUCGUGCUGCGGGCGGCCAGCGAGGCUGGGGGCCCUGCGCGCCUCGAGUACUACGAGAACGAGAAGAAGUGGCGGCACAAGUCGAGCGCCCCCAAACGCUCGAUCCCCCUGGAGAGCUGCUUCAACAUCAACAAGCGGGCGGACUCCAAGAACAAGCACCUGGUGGCCCUCUACACCCGGGACGAGCACUUUGCCAUUGCGGCAGACAGCGAGGCCGAGCAGGACAGCUGGUACCAGGCCCUCCUGCAGCUGCACAACCGUGCCAAGGGCCACCACGACGGGGCCGCGGCGCCUGGGGCGGGAGGUGGCGGGGGCAGCUGCAGUGGCAGCUCCGGCCUCGGGGAGGCCGGUGAGGACUUGAGCUAUGGGGACGUGCCCCCAGGACCCGCCUUCAAGGAGGUCUGGCAGGUGAUCCUGAAACCCAAGGGCCUGGGUCAGACAAAGAACCUGAUUGGCAUCUACCGCCUCUGCCUGACCAGCAAGACCAUCAGCUUCGUGAAGCUGAACUCGGAGGCGGCGGCCGUGGUGUUGCAGCUGAUGAACAUCAGGCGCUGCGGCCACUCAGAGAACUUCUUCUUCAUCGAAGUGGGCCGUUCCGCAGUGACGGGCCCGGGGGAGUUCUGGAUGCAGGUGGACGACUCCGUGGUGGCCCAGAACAUGCACGAGACAAUCCUGGAGGCCAUGCGGGCCAUGAGCGAUGAGUUCCGCCCUAGAAGCAAGAGCCAGUCCUCCUCCAACUGCUCCAACCCCAUCAGUGUGCCCCUGCGGAGGCACCACCUCAACAACCCUCCACCCAGCCAGGUGGGGCUGACCCGCCGCUCGCGCACCGAGAGCAUCACAGCCACCUCCCCGGCCAGCUUGGUGGGCGGGAAGCAGGGCUCCUUCCGCGUGCGUGCCUCCAGUGAUGGCGAAGGCACCAUGUCUCGCCCCGCCUCAGUGGACGGCAGUCCUGUGAGUCCUAGCACCAACAGGACCCACGCCCACCGCCAUCGAGGCAGCUCCCGGCUGCACCCGCCUCUCAACCACAGCCGCUCCAUCCCCAUGCCUUCUUCUCGCUGCUCGCCUUCCGCCACCAGCCCUGUCAGUCUGUCGUCCAGCAGCACGAGUGGCCAUGGCUCCACCUCAGACUGCCUCUUCCCGCGGCGGUCUAGUGCUUCUGUGUCUGGUUCCCCCAGUGAUGGCGGCUUCAUCUCCUCCGAUGAGUAUGGCUCCAGUCCCUGCGAUUUCCGAAGUUCCUUCCGCAGCGUCACCCCAGAUUCCCUGGGCCACACCCCGCCCGCCCGGGGUGAGGAGGAGCUAAGCAACUAUAUCUGCAUGGGAGGCAAGGGGGCCUCCACCCUCACUGCCCCCAAUGGCCACUACAUUCUGCCCCGGGGUGGCAAUGGUCACCGCUACGUGCCAGCCGCCGGCUUGGGCACGAGCCCAGCCCUGCCAGGAGAAGAAGCAGCCGGUGCGGCAGAUCUGGAUAAUCGGUUCCGAAAACGGACUCACUCUGCGGGCACCUCACCUACCAUUUCCCACCAGAAAACCCCGUCUCAGUCCUCUGUGGCUUCCAUUGAGGAAUAUACCGAAAUGAUGCCCGCUUACCCACCAGGAGGUGGCAGUGGAGGCCGAGUACCCGGCUACCGGCACUCCGCCUUCGUGCCCACCCACUCCUACCCAGAGGAGGGUCUGGAAAUGCACCCCUUGGAGCGGCGUGGGGGCCACCACCGCCCAGACACCUCCAGCCUUCACACUGAUGAUGGCUACAUGCCCAUGUCCCCAGGAGUGGCCCCAGUGCCCGGCAGCCGGAAAGGCAGUGGGGACUACAUGCCCAUGAGCCCCAAGAGCGUGUCUGCCCCGCAACAGAUCAUCAACCCCAUCAGACGCCAUCCCCAGAGAGUGGACCCCAACGGCUACAUGAUGAUGUCCCCAAGCGGCAGCUGCUCUCCUGACAUUGGAGGUGGGCCCAGCAGCGGUGGCAGCAGCAGUGGUGCCGCCCCUUCUGGGAGCAGCUAUGGCAAGCUUUGGACAAACGGGGUAGGGGGCCACCACUCUCACGCCCUGCCACACCCCAAACUUCCGGUGGAGAGCGGUAGUGGCAAACUCUUGUCUUGUGCAGGUGACUACAUGAACAUGUCGCCCGUCGGGGACUCCAACACCAGCAGCCCCUCCGACUGCUAUUAUGGCCCCGAGGACCCCCAGCACAAGCCCGUCCUCUCCUACUACUCAUUGCCAAGGUCCUUUAAGCAUACCCAGCGUCCUGGGGAGCUGGAGGAGCCCCGGCACCACCAGCACAUCCGCCUUUCCACAAGUUCCGGUCGACUCCUCUACACUGCGGCCGCAGAAGAUUCCUCUUCGUCCACCAGCAGCGACAGCCUGGGCGGGGGAUACUGUGGGGCUCGGCCGGAGCCUGGCCUCCCGCAUCUCCAUCAUCAGGUCCUGCAGGCCCAUCUGCCUCGAAAGGUGGACACAGCUGCCCAGACCAACAACCGCCUGGCUCGGCCCACGAGGCUGUCUCUGGGGGAUCCCAAGGCCAGCACCUUACCUCGGGCCCGAGAGCAGCAGCCGCCGCCCCCCUUGCUGCUCCCUCCGGAGCCCAAGAGCCCAGGGGAGUAUGUGAAUAUUGAAUUUGGGAGCGAUCAGCCAGGCUACUUAUCGGGCCCGGUGGCGUCCCACAGCUCGCCUUCCAUCAGGUGUCCGUCCCAGCUCCAGCCAGCUCCCAGAGAGGAGGAGACGGGCGCAGAAGAGUAUAUGAACAUGGACCUGGGGCCGGGCCGGAGGGCCACCUGGCAGGAGGGCGUGGGGGUCCAGCCGGGCAGGGUGGGCCCGGCGCCCCCUGGAGCUGCUAGCGUGUGUAGGCCGACUAGGGCAGUGCCCAGCAGCCGCGGCGACUACAUGACCAUGCAGAUGGGCGGUCCCAGGCAGAGCUACGUGGACACCUCACCUGUCGCGCCCAUCAGCUACGCCGACAUGCGGACCGGCGUCGUUGUGGAGGAUGCCAGCUUGCCCGGGGCCACUGCGGCCACUCCCUCCUCAUCCUCGACGGCCUCUGUUUCCUCCACUGCGCCUCCGGGAACAGGAGAGCUGGCGGCCCGUUCGGCCCUCCUGGGGGGCCCGAGCGCCUUCACGCGGGUUAACCUCAGUCCCAACCGCAACCAGAGUGCCAAAGUGAUCCGUGCCGACCCUCAAGGGUGCAGGAGGCGGCACAGCUCCGAGACCUUCUCCUCUACGCCCAGUGCCACCCGGGUGGGCAACACGAUGCCCUUCGGAGCCGGGGCUGCCGUUGGGGGCAGCGGUGGCGGCAGUAGCAGCAGCGCUGAGGAUGUCAAACGCCACAGCUCUGCUUCCUUCGAGAACGUGUGGCUGAGGCCUGGGGAGCUCGGGGGAGCCCCCAAGGAACUGGCCCAAGUGUGCGGGGCCGCUGGGGGUUUGGAGAAUGGUCUUAACUACAUAGACCUGGAUUUGGUCAAGGACUUCAAACAGCGCCUUCAAGAGCGCCCACCUCAACCGCAGCCUCCUGCACUCCCGGCCCCUCAUCAGCCUCUGGGCAGUAGUCAGAGCGGCCCCACCAGCCGCUCCAGCGAGGAUCUAAGCGCCUAUGCCAGCAUCACUUUCCAGAAGCAGCCAGAGGACCUCCAGUAGCUCAACUGGACAUCACAGCAGGGCACAAGACAACAAAACAAGCAAUGUAGAAAUAAAACAAGCAAAAUGAACUCCAAAUUUCAUUUAUGCACCUAACGGAGAAGACUUUUGUUUGGAGGGUGGGCUGAUUCUAAUGAAGACCUAAAUGACCUCAGCAAAUCCUCCUUUAACUCAUGGGUACCCAGACUCUAAAUAUUUCAUGAUUCACAACCAGGACCUCACAUCUUCCUCCUCAGUAGAUGGUACGAUGCACCCAUUUCAGUUUGUUUACUUUACACAAUCCUCAGGAGUUUGUUGACUGAACUGCACGUUCUAUAUCGUGCCAAGAAAAAAGCACUGUGACACCAGAACAAUGAGUCUGCAUAAACUUCAUCUUCAACCUUAAGGACUUAGCUGGCCACAUGAGCUGAUGGGCCACCGUGCCACGAGAGAAUGAGUUUACGCUCAUUGCAUUUACAAGACACAUUUCAUCUGCUGCUGAAACCGUGUACGACAGAGCAUCAUUGUAAAUUAUUUCCUAUGGAACUGUUGCAUUGGGUGGAGAGAGUAUUAAAUAUUUAACAUAGGUUUUUGAUUUAUAUGUGUAAUUUUUUUAAUUAAAAUGUAACUUUUCUUACAGCACAUCUUUUUUGGGGGGGAUGUGGAACUGAGGUAUACAGUGUUCUAUUGAAAAGAGUGGAGCAAAUGCUUAAAACAAGGCUAACGAGUAGAAUAGGGUACGAUCCUUGUUUUAAGAUUGUAAUUCAGAAAAGUAAUAUAAUAAGAAUCAUAGUGCCAUAGAUUUUGGUUCUCAAUUGUAUAGUUCUAUUUGCUGAUACUAUCUCUUGUAAUAUAGCCUUGAUGUUGAGCUGAGAUCCUUACAAGAAUUGAUCUUAAUUUUGUAUUUUUUUUUUUCUGUAAGGCAAUAGGCCAUGUUAAUGAAACUGAAGAAGGAUAUAUUCUGCUGGGUAUUUUCAAGUGUCAGCUUAAAAUUGGCAAUUGAAUGGAAGCAAAAUUACAAGAAAAGGCAAUCAGUGUCUUCCUUUGUAUAUACUGUAAAGAGGAGGAGACAUGGGUGAUCCCUUCGAAUCAAAAGCUCUCUUUGGAAUGAAUAAUGUGGGUGUUUGUAAAUUCUGGAAAUUUCUUUCUAUUCAUAAUAAACUAGAGACUGUUGA